rnacentral:lncRNA from 1 species
AAUCCGGUUUUAAAUUUCGAAUUGGUCCAUUCCAAAGUAAUCCACUUAAAACCCUCUCUCACGAACACUUCUCUCUCCUCUUCAUUCAUCACUCAUUCACUCUCUUUGUUAAUCAAAACUCUCUCUCAAAAUCUUAGAUGCUCUUUCCGAUUUACAUUCCAAUAAUGAAUCAUAUAUUUUUAGAUAAUUCGGUGUUCCAUUUUCCGUUCCAAUGAAAUUCAGUUUCAUUUUUCAUUCAUAUUCUAAUCAUGAACCAAACGUAUCCUAAAUGUAAUUGUUCUCUAUGUACUCUUUCGUAAUGUUCUAGUCUCAUUUUUCAAU